rnacentral:rRNA from 1 species
UGGGGAAUUUUGGACAAUGGGGGAAACCCUGAUCCAGCCAUCCCGCGUGUGCGAUGAAGGCCUUCGGGUUGUAAAGCACUUUUGGCAGGAAAGAAACGUCAUGGGUUAAUACCCCGUGAAACUGACGGUACCUGCAGAAUAAGCACCGGCUAACUACGUGCCAGCAGCCGCGGUAAUACGUAGGGUGCAAGCGUUAAUCGGAAUUACUGGGCGUAAAGCGUGCGCAGGCGGUUCGGAAAGAAAGAUGUGAAAUCCCAGAGCUCAACUUUGGAACUGCAUUUUUAACUACCGGGCUAGAGUGUGUCAGAGGGAGGUGGAAUUCCGCGUGUAGAAGUGAAAUGCGUAGAUAUGCGGAGGAACACCGAUGGCGAAGGCAGCCUCCUGGGAUAACACUGACGCUCAUGAACGAAAGCGUGGGGAGCAAACAGG